rnacentral:lncRNA from 1 species
CCUGUCAUCGUCGGUGAAGAGGGACACCACCAGAUAGGGGCCCCGCACCAGCGCACCCCUCGGCGCUUCCUCCACCGGAGUCACAAACUCAUACUCCUGGGCGCUCGGGCCAUAGCUGCCCACCAUGUAGACGGUCUUGUCCCGCGCAGGCCCCGGCGGUAGGUGUGGUGCAGACACUUGAGGCCGCUGACAAUCUCCCUGUGGACUUGAAGGAGAUCUUCACUCUGUAAUCAACACCUUCCUUCAGGAC